AUUGAACGCUGGCGGCAGGCUUAACACAUGCAAGUCGAGCGGAGAUGAGGUGCUUGCACCUUAUCUUAGCGGCGGACGGGUGAGUAAUGCUUAGGAAUCUGCCUAUUAGUGGGGGACAACAUUCCGAAAGGAAUGCUAAUACCGCAUACGUCCUACGGGAGAAAGCAGGGGAUCUUCGGACCUUGCGCUAAUAGAUGAGCCUAAGUCGGAUUAGCUAGUUGGUGGGGUAAAGGCCUACCAAGGCGACGAUCUGUGGCGGGUCUGAGAGGAUGAUCCGCCACACUGGGACUGAGACACGGCCCAGACUCCUACGGGAGGAAGCAGUGGGGAAUAUUGGACAAUGGGGGGAACCCUGAUCCAGCCAUGCCGCGUGUGUGAAGAAGGCCUUAUGGUUGUAAAGCACUUUAAGCGAGGAGGAGGCUACUGAGACUAAUACUCUUGGAUAGUGGACGUUACUCGCAGAAUAAGCACCGGCUAACUCUGUGCCAGCAGCCGCCGUAA
rnacentral:rRNA from 1 species